GUAGGGAAUCUUCCGCAAUGGACGAAAGUCUGACGGAGCAACGCCGCGUGAGUGAUGAAGGUUUUCGGAUCGUAAAGCUCUGUUGUUAGGGAAGAACAAGUGCGAGAGUAACUGCUCGCACCUUGACGGUACCUAACCAGAAAGCCACGGCUAACUACGUGCCAGCAGCCGCGGUAAUACGUAGGUGGCAAGCGUUGUCCGGAAUUAUUGGGCGUAAAGGGCUCGCAGGCGGUUUCUUAAGUCUGAUGUGAAAGCCCCCGGCUCAACCGGGGAGGGUCAUUGGAAACUGGGAAACUUGAGUGCAGAAGAGGAGAGUGGAAUUCCACGUGUAGCGGUGAAAUGCGUAGAGAUGUGGAGGAACACCAGUGGCGAAGGCGACUCUCUGGUCUGUAACUGACGCUGAGGAGCGAAAGCGUGGGGAGCGAACAGGAUUAGAAACCCUGGUAGUCC
rnacentral:rRNA from 1 species